GGUUAAGCGACUAAGCGUACACGGUGGAUGCCCUGGCAGUCAGAGGCGAUGAAGGACGUGCUAAUCUGCGAUAAGCGUCGGUAAGGUGAUAUGAACCGUUAUAACCGGCGAUUUCCGAAUGGGGAAACCCAGUGUGUUUCGACACACUAUCAUUAACUGAAUCCAUAGGUUAAUGAGGCGAACCGGGGGAACUGAAACAUCUAAGUACCCCGAGGAAAAGAAAUCAACCGAGAUUCCCCCAGUAGCGGCGAGCGAACGGGGAGCAGCCCAGAGCCUGAAUCAGUGUGUGUGUUAGUGGAAGCGUCUGGAAAGGCGCGCGAUACAGGGUGACAGCCCCGUACACAAAAAUGCACAUGCUGUGAGCUCGAUGAGUAGGGCGGGACACGUGGUAUCCUGUCUGAAUAUGGGGGGACCAUCCUCCAAGGCUAAAUACUCCUGACUGACCGAUAGUGAACCAGUACCGUGAGGGAAAGGCGAAAAGAACCCCGGCGAGGGGAGUGAAAAAGAACCUGAAACCGUGUACGUACAAGCAGUGGGAGCCUCUUUUAUGGGGUGACUGCGUACCUUUUGUAUAAUGGGUCAGCGACUUAUAUUCUGUAGCAAGGUUAACCGAAUAGGGGAGCCGAAGGGAAACCGAGUCUUAACUGGGCGUUAAGUUGCAGGGUAUAGACCCGAAACCCGGUGAUCUAGCCAUGGGCAGGUUGAAGGUUGGGUAACACUAACUGGAGGACCGAACCGACUAAUGUUGAAAAAUUAGCGGAUGACUUGUGGCUGGGGGUGAAAGGCCAAUCAAACCGGGAGAUAGCUGGUUCUCCCCGAAAGCUAUUUAGGUAGCGCCUCGUGAAUUCAUCUCCGGGGGUAGAGCACUGUUUCGGCAAGGGGGUCAUCCCGACUUACCAACCCGAUGCAAACUGCGAAUACCGGAGAAUGUUAUCACGGGAGACACACGGCGGGUGCUAACGUCCGUCGUGAAGAGGGAAACAACCCAGACCGCCAGCUAAGGUCCCAAAGUCAUGGUUAAGUGGGAAACGAUGUGGGAAGGCCCAGACAGCCAGGAUGUUGGCUUAGAAGCAGCCAUCAUUUAAAGAAAGCGUAAUAGCUCACUGGUCGAGUCGGCCUGCGCGGAAGAUGUAACGGGGCUAAACCAUGCACCGAAGCUGCGGCAGCGACGCUUAUGCGUUGUUGGGUAGGGGAGCGUUCUGUAAGCCUGUGAAGGUGUGCUGUGAGGCAUGCUGGAGGUAUCAGAAGUGCGAAUGCUGACAUAAGUAACGAUAAAGCGGGUGAAAAGCCCGCUCGCCGGAAGACCAAGGGUUCCUGUCCAACGUUAAUCGGGGCAGGGUGAGUCGACCCCUAAGGCGAGGCCGAAAGGCGUAGUCGAUGGGAAACAGGUUAAUAUUCCUGUACUUGGUGUUACUGCGAAGGGGGGACGGAGAAGGCUAUGUUGGCCGGGCGACGGUUGUCCCGGUUUAAGCGUGUAGGCUGGUUUUCCAGGCAAAUCCGGAAAAUCAAGGCUGAGGCGUGAUGACGAGGCACUACGGUGCUGAAGCAACAAAUGCCCUGCUUCCAGGAAAAGCCUCUAAGCAUCAGGUAACAUCAAAUCGUACCCCAAACCGACACAGGUGGUCAGGUAGAGAAUACCAAGGCGCUUGAGAGAACUCGGGUGAAGGAACUAGGCAAAAUGGUGCCGUAACUUCGGGAGAAGGCACGCUGAUAUGUAGGUGAAGCGACUUGCUCGUGGAGCUGAAAUCAGUCGAAGAUACCAGCUGGCUGCAACUGUUUAUUAAAAACACAGCACUGUGCAAACACGAAAGUGGACGUAUACGGUGUGACGCCUGCCCGGUGCCGGAAGGUUAAUUGAUGGGGUUAGCGCAAGCGAAGCUCUUGAUCGAAGCCCCGGUAAACGGCGGCCGUAACUAUAACGGUCCUAAGGUAGCGAAAUUCCUUGUCGGGUAAGUUCCGACCUGCACGAAUGGCGUAAUGAUGGCCAGGCUGUCUCCACCCGAGACUCAGUGAAAUUGAACUCGCUGUGAAGAUGCAGUGUACCCGCGGCAAGACGGAAAGACCCCGUGAACCUUUACUAUAGCUUGACACUGAACAUUGAGCCUUGAUGUGUAGGAUAGGUGGGAGGCUUAGAAGUGUGGACGCCAGUCUGCAUGGAGCCGACCUUGAAAUACCACCCUUUAAUGUUUGAUGUUCUAACGUUGACCCGUAAUCCGGGUUGCGGACAGUGUCUGGUGGGUAGUUUGACUGGGGCGGUCUCCUCCUAAAGAGUAACGGAGGAGCACGAAGGUUGGCUAAUCCUGGUCGGACAUCAGGAGGUUAGUGCAAUGGCAUAAGCCAGCUUGACUGCGAGCGUGACGGCGCGAGCAGGUGCGAAAGCAGGUCAUAGUGAUCCGGUGGUUCUGAAUGGAAGGGCCAUCGCUCAACGGAUAAAAGGUACUCCGGGGAUAACAGGCUGAUACCGCCCAAGAGUUCAUAUCGACGGCGGUGUUUGGCACCUCGAUGUCGGCUCAUCACAUCCUGGGGCUGAAGUAGGUCCCAAGGGUAUGGCUGUUCGCCAUUUAAAGUGGUACGCGAGCUGGGUUUAGAACGUCGUGAGACAGUUCGGUCCCUAUCUGCCGUGGGCGCUGGAGAACUGAGGGGGGCUGCUCCUAGUACGAGAGGACCGGAGUGGACGCAUCACUGGUGUUCGGGUUGUCAUGCCAAUGGCACUGCCCGGUAGCUAAAUGCGGAAGAGAUAAGUGCUGAAAGCAUCUAAGCACGAAACUUGCCCCGAGAUGAGUUCUCCCUGACUCCUUGAGAGUCCUGAAGGAACGUUGAAGACGACGACGUUGAUAGGCCGGGUGUGUAAGCGCAGCGAUGCGUUGAGCUAACCGGUACUAAUGAACCGUGAGGCUUAACCUU
rnacentral:rRNA from 1 species